GAUGAACGCUAGCGGCAGGCCUAAUACAUGCAAGUCGAACGGGAUCCAGAUCAAAGCUUGCUUUGGUUUGGUGAGAGUGGCGCACGGGUGCGUAACGCGUGAGCAACCUACCCUUGUCAGGGGGAUAGCCCGGCGAAAGUCGGAUUAAUACCGCAUGACAUCAUUGAGAGGCAUCUUUCGAUGAUCAAAGAUUUAUCGGACAAGGAUGGGCUCGCGUGACAUUAGCUAGUUGGUAAGGUAACGGCUUACCAAGGCUACGAUGUCUAGGGGCUCUGAGAGGAGAACCCCCCAACUUGGAACGGGGACACGGACCAGACCCCACCGGGGGGCAGCAGUAAGGAAAAUUGGUAAAGGGACGGAAGUCUGAACCGGCCAGCCCGGGUGAAGGAAGACGGCCCUAUGGGUUGUAAACUGUUUUUAUAGGGGAACAAACGCGGGUACGUGUACGGGUUUGGGGGUACCGAAAAAAUAAGGAUCGGCUAACCCCGG
rnacentral:rRNA from 1 species